rnacentral:rRNA from 1 species
CGGAGGAGCAUGUGGUUAAUUCGAUGAUACGCGAGGAACCUUACCUGGGCGUCGAACGUAAGAUGACUGUAGGUGAAAGCUUACAUCUCUUCGGAGCAUUUUACGAGGUGCUGCAUGGUUGUCGUCAGCUCGUGCCGUGAGGUGUCGGGUUAAGUCCCAUAACGAGCGCAACCCCUACCUUUAGUUGCCAUCAGGUUAAGCUGGGGACUCUAAAGGAACUGCCUACGCAAGUAGUGAGGAAGGCGGGGAUGACGUCAAAUCAGCACGGCCCUUACGUCCAGGGCUACACACGUGCUACAAUGGCCGAUACAGAGGGCAGCUACCUGGUGACAGGAUGCAAAUCUCCAAAGUCGGUCUCAGUUCGGAUCGGAGUCUGCAACCCGACUCCGUGAAGUUGGAUUCGCUAGUAAUCGCGCAUCAGCCAUGGCGCGGUGAAUACGUUCCCGGGCCUU